GUAGUCAAAUGCUUGUCUAAAAGAUUAAGCCAUGCAUGUAUAAGCUAAGCUGAUAAAUAGUGAAGCCGCGGACAGCUCAUUAAUACACUCAUAAUCUUCGCAAUGCAUCCAAUAUGGAUAUCUGUGCUAAUUUUAGAGCUAAUACACGCAAUCAAGCCCCUUAAUUGGGGAGCAUUUAUUAGAACAAAACCGAUCGGGGUCUCCCCGCUGUUGGUGAAUCUGAAUAACUGUGCAGAUCGCAGGUCUUUGUACCGGCGACACAUUGCAAGAGUGAGUGCCUUAUCAACUGUCGAUGGUAGUAUAUAUGCCUACCAUGGUUAUUACGGGUAACGGAGAAUUAGGGUUUGACUCCGGAGAGGCAGCCUGAGAGACGGCUACCAGUUCUAAGGAACGCAGCAGGCGCGCAAAUUACACAAUGACAGUAAACUGUUGAUGUAGUGACAAGAGGUAACGGGGCGGUCCUCUAUGAGGCCCGUCAUUGUAUUGAGUAAAACUCAAAAUAUUUAACGAAACCAAUUGGAGGGCAAGUCUGGUGCCAGCAGCCGCGGUAAUUCCAGCUCCAAAAGCAUAUAUUAAAGUUGUUGCGGUUAAAAAGCUCGUAGUUGGAUCCAUGACCUCGGAGGGCGGUCCCCCACUGGGUGCGUACUGCUGCUCCGAGUCCUAUCUGUCAGUUUGUCUGUGUUGCCUUUAAUCGGGUGGCACAGGUGACUGACGUGUUUACUUUGAAAGAAUUAGAGUGUUUAAAGCAGGCGUUGAAUGCCUGAAUAGUGGUGCAUGGAAUAAUGGAAUAGGAUCUCGGUUCUAUUUUGUUGGUUCAAGAGCAUGAGAAAAUGAUUAAGAGGGACAGACGGGGGCAUUUGUAUUGCUGCGUUAGAGGUGAAAUUCUUGGAUCGUAGCAAGACAAACUACUGCGAAGGCAUUUGCCAAGAAUGUUUUCAUUAAUCAAGAACGAAAGUUAGAGGUUCGAAGGCGAUCAGAUACCGCCCUAGUUCUAACCGUAAACCAUGUCGACUAGCUAUCUGUCAGCGUUAAUAAUGACCUGACAGGCAGCUUACCGGAAACGAAAGUUUCUCGAUUCCGGGGGUAGUAUGGUUGCAAAGCUGAAACUUAAAGGAAUUGACGGAAGGGCACCACCAGGAGUGGAGCCUGCGGCUUAAUUUGACCCAACACGGGAAAACUCACCCGGCCCGGACACCGUAAGGAUUGACAGAUUAAUAGCUUUUUCUCGAUUUGGUGAUUGGUGGUGCAUGGCCGUUCUUAGUUGGUGGAGCGAUUUGUCUGGUUAAUUCCGAUAACGAACGAGAUUCUAACUUACUAACUAGUUCCACGAUCCUUGUGGUCCUAAAUACUUCUUAGAGG
rnacentral:rRNA from 1 species